GUCUAUGGUGAUGCCACUCUGAACAAGAUCGAUCCCGUCUGAUCUCAGAAUCUAGGCAGGGUGGGGCCUGGUUAGUACUUGGAUGGGAGACCACCUAGGAAGACCAGAUGCUGUAGGUG
rnacentral:rRNA from 1 species